GGGUAUAAAGUGAUCAGCUCUGUUUAUGCUGAGGAGCCGGGUUGUAAUGUCAGCACACAGGAGCGGGGCAAAGGGAGAGCCUGUUCCUGGCUUCUGCUGAUUGUUUAUGAACGAAAAUCUUUGGAGAAACUUCCAAACACCGACAAUCUGGGAAUGGUCAAGCGGGAGCAAAGCCCAUCAAAGCAUUCCCAGCACGGAACAGGGAGAGAAGCAGGUUCCCUCCCCCGGUGGGGCUGGUUGGCAAGAGGGGGUCCGUGGGACACACGGGAUUUGGGGUCUGUUGAACUCCUACGAGAAGAAGCCAGCUGGGACCCAUGAGGGCUGACUCCAGCAUUUUCCGUGACUGCCGGGAUGGAGCAGCGUGCAAGCAGUUGUACGCGUCUGAGCUUCCUGUUGGCUGAGGAGAGUGGGGUCGGGACGGGGGUCUGCCUCCCACCGUGGCCGCAGAAGAAACAAGAACCGCCUGCCUGGCACCCCGGGAGUGUCAGGUCUUCUGUGAGAACGAGACGCCAUCGGAAACCAGCCUGAAUUCUGUCCCAUGUAUCACGGCAGCAACCACGAGAGCCCGGAAGAAUGUUUUCUUUAGUUAAGCCUCACCGAAUGGGAGGUGAGGACAAACGGCCCAGCCGUCCCUCAGCGGAGGGACAGACAGACGGAAAGUGGCUUGGACAGACAACGGAAUAUUACUCAGCCUUAAAAAAGAAGCAGAUUCUAACACCUGCUCCAACGUGGACGGACCUUGAAGACAGCACGCUGGGGGAGAUUACGAGGCCUCUGCCCUGAUGUUCACCGUCACGUCCUCGAGCCGCACCGAGACCUCUCCUGGCAUUAAAAACGCAUCGGACCUCAGAAACAGUGGCCUGGGCGGUGGGCGGAGGCCAAGAGAGCAGCAGAGCAGAGUUCAAAGGCGCGGCUCUCACCCGCUUCUCCCCUGGAGGCCUGCUCCCGGGGGGCCCCCGGCCUGCAGACCCUUCUGUAUGGGGGUGCGCCCAGGACUGCCGUCCGCCCCCCUCCGAUCUGCACAGCUACACCCUUGAAGGGAGCUUCAAAGCGUGUCUGCCGAUAGAUCAAGCCUUCUCUCAGCCAUGACAGCCCCCCAUCGCUCGCCUCCCCAAAUAAACCCGCGUAAUGAAGACAGAUGGCCCCGGUCAGCCGCCGGCCCCAGGCAAGGCCUGCAGAUGGUGCUGUGGGCGGCCGGAGGCCACACACCCCACCCCGGAGCGGUGCUCUGAGGUGUCACCGGGAUGGAGACUGGCCUCAGCCUGCACUCCCCCCAUCGCCCUGGGGGCAACACCUCUCCACGAUGAGCCUGGUUUUACCUUUGCCCACUGCCUUUGAAAAUAGCCACCUUGACGCCCGUGGGCCUGGCCAUCCGUAACGACACAGACCUCUGACUGUGCUCCAGACACCAGCCCAGGGUAAGCCGGCCAGCGGCGAGGGCAGUCGGUUAUCUGCGUGGCCUCUGUGAAGGGGCUCUGCUCCCAUCCCGGGAGGGGUCUUUCUCGGUGAGAGGGACGUUUGUGAUUGCGGGCCAGCGCCUGGUUUAUGGACCCCGGCCGGGUGGGAGGGUGCCGCCCGCCAGCCCGCGGCCUGCGCCGGCCUGAAGUGUUUACCGCUGGGGUGAUUUACAUCGUCCAGGUGUUCGUUUGGGAAACAUCUCAGCUCAGCUGACACGGCGAUUGCCCUGCAUUUGCAGACUUUGGCAUUUUUCUGUUCCUGGCGAUCCAGGGCCCAGAGAGACGGUCAAAAAAAAAAAAAAAAAAAAAGUACUGAGCCAAAGUGGGUCGUCUCCUGUGAUGGUCACACAGGCCGGCCGAGGAAGCCCCAACCCCAUGCCCUGCGUCCUGCCCCACGCGGGAAAUUUCCCGGCACGGAGUCUGUGCCCCCUCAUCAGAGUAAUGUCUUCUUCUGUCCGUUGGCUCUUUGGCCUCUUGGACGCUGCGUAGAUGUCGUCCCAGGCCUCCUCUCUGCCCUUUUCAGCCCCCCGGUGCUUUGCCAAAGGGCCCCUGAAACUGUUCUUUUCUUGGGCGAGAUUCCGGGACCUUGGGUAUGGCAGGCACAUUCUGGAGAGCGAGCCGGGGUUGGUGGGGGUUUGCUCUGCGUGGACCAGCCUCGGCUAGGGUGCUUACACUUCGAGGGACCCACUCGACAGAAGGUUCUGCCGCUUUCCUCGAUUUCUGCUCACAUUCAGUGCCGGCGCGAUCGUUAGUGUUUGUCCCUGGGUUCGUGCCAGGAGGUCCUAACACCCAUCCCGGAGCAGCCGUGAGUAAAACAUGCCCCCAGCAGUCAAAAUGGCUUUUCUGUUUGCCAAAAAAAGACGUAUUUUGUGUUUAGUCCGAUCCCUCCCAUCCUCAUUGAGAGGAGCCUGGACGUUGAUUACGCGUCUGUUUUUACACUUGAACUCACCUUUUCUCCGGCCACUUCUGAUAAGUCUGGUGAAAAAGAAAGCAACUGUAUGUUUGCCUCAUAGAAUAUCCUAUCAAUGUAUAUACUGGGGUGGAGGCAGGCAAGGAUGCUCGCACAGGAGUUGAGAAUGAUUCUUUGCCCAUGUUUUAAUGUUUACAAAAACCCUUCUCGCCGAUGCAGGGAUACGGGGCUGCUUUCAAGAGCUCAUUUCAAUUUCCUAUUUCUCUCUCCUCGACAAAAACGUCUCCAGAAGCCACAGUUUUCCUCCCUACACAAUCUGCAGACGGAAAACAUCGGGUCGAACGCAGACGGAUAAAGAGUAGGGGCCGUCAGACCCAGGUUUCACAAAUGAUACAAUUGCUUCUGUUUUGAGUCCUACAUUUAAAACAGCCUUUUCAGCCAGUGAUUCGCACACUAACAAGUUCACCAAAAAAGCAUUCAAACUUCCCGUGUUUGUGCUCCUUUCUCCCGGAUUGUAAAUACAUGAACCUCCCCGCACAGAGAAGUAUCAUCAUUUUGCCACACUAAACGGCCACGUUUUCACCAGCAGCGAGACUGUUUGAAGUGAUCGGCCCUGGGGCGAGAAAAAGAAAAUUCCAGCAAUAAAACAAAAAUCUUGAUUUCUAAACAUCAGGCCGAAGUCCUUUCAAGUGACCGUGGACUCCCUGGGAAAAUGGUUUUUCUCCGUUACCAUUUACAGCCUAGUAUCGAGACGCGCCGUGGAAAAUGUCGUGCCGGUUCGAAGAAAAAGAUCCCGUGUUUUAAAAGAACAGCUUUUGCCUUUGCUGGAGAUUUCCUAACUGUGUGUCUUUGGAAACCUCUGUCCUGAGUCUAAAUAGGAUGUCUCCACAGAUACACGAAAAUGCAUGUGACCGCGGUCUGCUGGAAAGAAUUGCCUGAGAAAGUUGAAUUUUCAAACGCGAACACAACGUUGGCCAUUGCCACCACGAGCACGGUUUCACUAAACGACCAGAUUCAUUUAUUCUAACCUCUCCUGGAACCGUCCCAAAAAAGCAGGUGACUAUUGAACGAUUUUGUUUUUUCAUUCUCAAUUACAAGCGGGAUAAAACAAACGUCAUUCUAUGGAGUCUGAACAUUAAAAUGUAGGAGGGAGUUCACCAGGAUCUGGUAAAUGGCUAAACAGAUUAGUAGCCUUACUUUUUAACAUAUAAACAUCUGAAACCCGUUUCCUGUUGAAGAAGAAGAAGAAGGAAAAAAAAAAAAAAAAAAAGGCUAGGUGGAUGACCCCGGGUACUUUUUUUUGAUUAACAAAUGUGAAUUGUACAUCAUGGUGGAAAAAAAAAAAAAUGGCCCACGCUUGGUGGUCUUU